UGGAUUUCUGCCGUGAUCGUCUGAGACCGCCUUUCGAGGCGGUGCAGGAUGGAUUGUGGCAUAUUUCCAGUAGCUCUUUGCCUUUCUUAAUUGCGAGGCGGGGGUGUUCUGGAACUUUUACUUUGAGAAAAAUAGAGUGUUUCAAGCAGGC
rnacentral:rRNA from 1 species